rnacentral:rRNA from 1 species
CGAAAGCCUGAUGCAGCAACGCCGCGUGUGCGAUGAAGGCCUUCGGGUGUAAAGCACUUUUAGCAGGGAAGAGGAGGACGGUACUGCUGAAUAAGCCUCGGCUAACUACGUGCCAGCAGCCGCGGUAAACGUAGGAGGCGAGCGUUAUCCGGAUUUACUGGGUGUAAAGCGCGUGCAGGCGGUUGGCUAAGUUGGGUGUGUAAAGCUCCUGGCUCAACUAGGAGAGGUCGCUCAAGACUGGCCGACUGGAGAGCAGUAGGGGAAGGUGGAAUUCCAGGUGUAGUGGUGAAAUGCGUAGAUAUCUGGAGGAACACCAGUGGCGAAAGCGGCCUUCUGGACUGCAUCUGACGCUCAGACGCGAAAGCUAGGGGAGCAAACGGGAUUAGAGACCCCGGUAGUCCUAGCUGUAAACGAUGUGAACUUGGCGCUGGGUGGGUAAAACCGUUCAGUGCCGAAGCAAACGCGAUAAGUUCACCACCUGAGGACUACGGCCGCAAGGUUA